rnacentral:rRNA from 1 species
CACGUAGUUAGCCGUGGCUUAUUCAAGGGGUACCGUCUUCUGCUCUUCCCCCUUAAAAGAAGUUUACAACCCGAAAGCCUUCUUCCUUCACGCGGCGUUGCUGGGUCAGGCUUGCGUCCAUUGCCCAAUAUUCCCCACUGCUGCCUCCCGUAGGAGUCUGGGCCGUAUCUCAGUCCCAAUGUGGCCGGCCAACCUCUCAGUCCGGCUACUGAUCGUCGCCUUGGUGGGCCGUUACCUCACCAACUAGCUAAUCAGACGCGAGGCCAUCUUCCAGCGAUAAAUCUUUGACAUCAGUGCCAUGCGACACCAAUGCGUCAUGCGGUAUUAGCAGUCGUUUCCAACUGUUGUCCCCCUCUGGAAGGCAGGUUCCUCACGCGUUACUCACCAGUCCGCCACUAAGCAUUCCUAUCCGUUGUCCGAAAACUCCUUCAAGGGUGCUCCGUUCGACUUGCAUGUGUUAAGCACGCCGCCAGCGUCGUCCUGAGCCAGGAUCAACUCU